rnacentral:rRNA from 1 species
UACGAAGGGGGCUAGCGUUGCUCGGAAUCACUGGGCGUAAAGGGUGCGUAGGCGGGUCUUUAAGUCAGGGGUGAAAUCCUGGAGCUCAACUCCAGAACUGCCUUUGAUACUGAGGAUCUUGAGUUCGGGAGAGGUGAGUGGAACUGCGAGUGUAGAGGUGAAAUUCGUAGAUAUUCGCAAGAACACCAGUGGCGAAGGCGGCUCACUGGCCCGAUAUUGACGCUGAGGCACGAAAGCGUGGGGAGCAAACAGG